UCAAAUUGUGGUGCUGGAGAAGAAUCUUGAGAGUCCCUUGGACUGCAAGGAGGUCAAAUCAGUCAAUCCUACAGGAAAUCAACCCCGACUGUUCAUUGGAAGGACAGGUACUGAAGCUGAAGCUCAAAUACUUUGGCCACCUAAUGCGAAGAGAGGACUCACUGGAGAAGCUCCUGAUGCUAGGAAAGACUGAAGGCAGAAGGAGAAGGGGACGGCAGAGGGUGAGAUGGUUAGAUAGCAUCACUGAUGCAAUGAACAUGAAUCUGAGUAAACUCCAGGAGACAGUGGAGGACAGGAAGGCCUGGCGUGCUGUGGUCCAUGGGGUCAUGAAGGGUUGGACAUGACUUAACGACUGAACAACAACAAUUUGUUUUCAUUUGCUUCCAUCCUUCUCUUCCCUCCCUCUUUUCUGUUGUGUUUUUAGGAUAAAGUCUGCAGGUAAAGACUACUGUAAACAUGCCACAUCAUGAUUAAAUGGUGAGUUUCCAGGAAAGAUACCUGCUCAUUCCCUUGACAGAUGAGGAGUUGCUGUUUCACAAGGGUCAGCGUAUUUAUAAAUCUGCCCAACUGCUAAACUGCAAUCCAGCCAUUUACCAAAGCACUUAAAAACUGUCCAGUUCAGAACCUUGAUUGGGGAAACAGCUCAAUCCAGAAGCUUUGCAUCUUCAAAAAUGGAUCAACUAGUUGGAACAUCCCCUUAUGGUUCUCUUGCCUUGUCCAUGUGAACUUGGAAUAUAACAUCAGGAAGAAAGAAGAGGAGUAUGAGAAGCUGGAGAAAUACCAGGGCCUGAAAGAGGAACUAGAGAAGAUGUGGAAAGUGAAGGCCAAAGUGGUUCCAGUGGUGGUAGGGGCACUUGGGGCUGUGACCCCCAAGCUGGGAGAGUGGUU